UUUUGUUUGCAACGAAUGGUAAUCAUCAUUUUUCAUAUCUUAGCCUAUUUUCUUAACAGAGGGCCACCCAGCAAUCAAUGGCUAGCAAAGUGCAACAGUUGGCAGCUUCAAGCUUCCAUGCUGACGAGAGAAUGUAUGAAUCGGCUCGACCAAGCUUCCCAGCAGCUGUGUUGAAGAUGGUGAAGGAGGGGAUUGUGGUUCCUCUCGGUAACCCCACCACAGUCUCGAGCCUCUCGGUGCUGGAUCUAGCCGCGGGCACUGGAAAGUGGACGCGACUAAUUCUUCCUUUUGGUCAGCUUGUUGCUGUCGAGCCCUCCCCUGGCAUGCGCCGAGAGUUUCAGCUCGUUUGUCCUGAUGUUGACAUCCUCGACGGCUCGAGUACUGCUAUUCCACUACCAGAUGCAAGCGUGGAUGUCAUCUUCAUCGCACAGGCAUUCACUGGUUCGCAAACGUGGAUGCAUUGAUAGAGAUGCACCGCGUGUUGAAACUGGAAUGAACAGUCGGCCAUGAUUUGGAACCUGGAAGACAUGAGGACCUCCUCCUGGGUUGCAAGGUUACGUGGUGCCCAUGAGAAACACGAAGCAGGUAGUCCUCAGUAGAGAUUAGGGCUUUGGUGGAGACCCUUUGUAGAUCCAGAGAUGGCGAAGGUGGUGUCAAAAAUGUUCCAAUUACCAUUUCGUGAACGGCAAGUCAGCCACUAUGUGUCGAACACGAAAGAUGAUGUGAGGUAACGCGUCCUCAGCAAGAGUUACGUUGCAGUUCUUAGCGCUGAGCAGAAGAUAGAGCUGAAGAAAGAAGUGGACCGUAUUAUGUCAGCAGAGGAUGUACACUGGGAUAAUGGAGAGGGUACCGAAAAAGUGAUGCAGUAUCCUUACACUACUGAUGUUGGAUGGUUCAAGAAGCUCUCGUGAGACGUUUUACCUCACGAUGCGAGUGCCUUCACCCCCUUUUUAUGAAGAAGGCUUCGAACUCUAUGUCACUUGAUCCUGCAAGUCGCUGUGACCUUUUCUGUGACCAUCUCCAGUGCAGAGCACGACAAAAUUAGCGGAACUGAACAGGUGGAGACAAUCUCGACUCCUAUUCAAGGAUGGAAGAAAUACGCCAGGGUAAUCCGCGCUUGAGUUCUGACCACAGUUUCUCGGUGUAAAACGAACUUACAAAAUUCAUCUGCGAACACCUGCAUUCAAAAGCAAUCAGCGAACUACAUCGCAUAAUGUUUUAGUCUAGAAAUCUUCGCAUCAACUUCGAAGGUGUGGCAAGCGCGUAAUUGACCUCAGUGGGAUAAAAACAUCUACCGGUUAUUCGUAAUGCGUCACUGUCGUUGAUGUCUACACCGUCAAGUCGCGAACUUGCGGUGACCCAGUGACCUUCAUUCUGUGCAUGAGAUCUACCGAUAUGAACGUGGUGCGACAUAAUCAACAAAUGAAAGUGUGCGUGCAGACAUCCAAGCACAUCCUCCGUGAAGACACCCAUCAGCUACACAGUGAGAUGCUCCACCUUGUUGUAUUCUCGGAUUGGAUCACUGCUACCAUGUCCCACUGAAGUCUGCAUCUGUGCAGCGGAGAUCGGCAUGUCACAAACAUGAAGUAUGCACCGAUUUCAUGCAAAUUUGAAGGUGAGUUUCACCAACGGAUUAGCAGAAGACUUUGUUGAGCCGCGAGACCACGAGAAUGUAUCACUGGUGAUCACUGGGAGGAGGUGGAUAUAACUCAGAAUAAAACAGGGAGAUAAAAAGUUGUCACUAGCAAAGAUUGCCAAAUAAAAGUAGGCCUAGUUAUACAAAUGUAUUUAUAUUAUUAUAACAUAACAAACACAGUAAAUAUAUAGUAUUUGAGUGUAUAGACAUCUUAUCAUUUCUAUUUAUCUUCUACAAUGUUAUUACAGUUGCCAUCAUUCUGAUGAAAGCUCAUGUUGGCAUCCGAAAGCAAUCUAUGAGUGCAUAAUUGUAGUAGUUGUGGUAUUAGUGUGCAUAUGUACUCUCAAAUACUUACUGAAAAUAAUAUUUAACACAA